rnacentral:rRNA from 1 species
UACGUAGGGUGCAAGCGUUGUCCGGAAUUAUUGGGCGUAAAGAGCUCGUAGGCGGUCUGUCGCGUCUGCUGUGAAAACUCAGGGCUUAACCCUGAGCUUGCAGUGGGUACGGGCAGACUAGAGUGCGGUAGGGGAGACGUGGAAUUCCUGGUGUAGCGGUGAAAUGACGCAGAUAUCAGGAGGAACACCGGUGGCGAAGGCGGGUCUCUGGGCCGUAACUGACGCUGAGGAGCGAAAGCGUGGGGGAGCGAACAGG